rnacentral:rRNA from 1 species
AAUUUUUGACAAUGGGGGAAAUCCUGAGCCAUCCAUCCCGCGUGUAUGAUGAAGGCCUUCGGGUUGUAAAGUACUUAUGGCUGAGAAGAAAAGGUACCUCCUAAUACGAGGUACUGCUUACGUUAUCUGUAGAAUAAGCGCCGGCUAUCUACGUGCCAGCAGCCGCGGUAAUACGUAUGGUGCAAGCGUUAAGCGGAAUUACUGGGCGUAAAGCGUGUGUAGGAGGUUAGGAGAGAAAGAUGUGAAAUCCCAGGGCUAAACCUUGGAACUGCAUUUUUAACUGCCGAGCUAGAGUAUGUCAGAGGGGGGUAGAAUUCCACGUGUAGCAGUGAAAUGCGUAGAUAUGCGGAGGAAUACCGAUGGCGAAGGCAGCCCCCUGGGAUAAUACUGACGCUCAGACACGAAAGCGUGGGGAGCAAACAG